GAUGAACGCUGGCGGCGUGCCUAAUACAUGCAAGUAGAACGCUGAAGGAGGAGCUUGCUCUUCUGGAUGAGUUGCGAACGGGUGAGUAACGCGUAGGUAACCUGCCUGGUAGCGGGGGAUAACUAUUGGAAACGAUAGCUAAUACCGCAUGACAACAGUUAUUGCAUGAUAACUGUUUAAAAGGGGCAACUGCUCCACUACCAGAUGGACCUGCGUUGUAUUAGCUAGUUGGUGAGGUAACGGCUCACCAAGGCGACGAUACAUAGCCGACCUGAGAGGGGGAUCGGCCACACUGGGAAUGAGACACGGCCCAGAAGCCUACGGGAGGCAGCAGUAGGGAAUCUUCGGCAAUGGACGGAAGUCUGACCGAGCAACGCCGCGUGAGUGAAGAAGGUUUUCGGAUCGUAAAGCUCUGUUGUAAGAGAAGAACGAGUGUGAGAGUGGAAAGUUCACACUGUGACGGUAUCUUACCAGAAAGGGACGGCUAACUACGUG
rnacentral:rRNA from 1 species